UACGUAGGUGGCAAGCGUUAUCCGGAAUUAUUGGGCGUAAAGCGCGCGUAGGCGGUUUCUUAAGUCUGAUGUGAAAGCCCCCGGCUCAACCGGGGAGGGUCAUUGGAAACUGGGGAACUUGAGUGCAGAAGAGGAGAGUGGAAUUCCAUGUGUAGCGGUGAAAUGCGCAGAGAUAUGGAGGAACACCAGUGGCGAAGGCGGCUCUCUGGUCUGUAACUGACGCUGAUGUGCGAAAGCGUGGGGAUCAAACAAG
rnacentral:rRNA from 1 species